rnacentral:rRNA from 1 species
AAUUGACGGGACCCGCACAAGCGGUGGAUGAUGUGGUUUAAUUCGAUGCAACGACGAAAACCUUACCCACCUUUGACAUGGCAGGAAUCCCGAAGAGAUUUGGGAGUGCUCGAAAGAGAACCUGCACACAGGUGCUGCAUGGCUGUCGUCAGCUCGUGUCGUGAGAUGUUGGGUUAAGUCCCGCAACGAGCGCAACCCUUGCCAUUAGUUGCUACGAAAGGGCACUCUAAUGGGACUGCCGGUGACAAACCGGAGGAAGGUGGGGAUGACGUCAAGUCCUCAUGGCCCUUAUAGGUGGGGCUACACACGUCAUACAAUGGCCGGUACAGAGGGUAGCCAACCCGCGAGGGGGAGCCAAUCCCACAAAGCCGGUCGUAGUCCGGAUCGCAGUCUGCAACUCGACUGCGUGAAGUCGGAAUCGCUAGUAAUCGCGGAUCAGCAUGUCGCGGUGAAUACGUUCCCGGGUCUU